rnacentral:rRNA from 1 species
UAAUACGAAGGGACCUAGCGUAGUUCGGAAUUACUGGGCUUAAAGAGUUCGUAGGUGGUUAAAAUAGUUGGUGGUGAAAUCCCAGAGCUUAACUCUGGAACUGCCAUCAAAACUUUUUAGCUAGAGUAUGAUAGAGGAAAGCAGAAUUUCUAGUGUAGAGGUGAAAUUCGUAGAUAUUAGAAAGAAUACCAAUUGCGAAGGCAGCUUUCUGGAUCAUUACUGACACUGAGGAACUAAAGCAUGGGUAGCGAAGAGGAUUAGAUACCCUCGUAGUCCAUGCCGUAAACGAUGUGUGUUAGACGUUGGAAAUUUAUUUUCAGUGUCGCAGCGAAAGCAAUAAACACACCGCCUGGGGAGUACGACCGCAAGGUUA